UCUCCAACCUUCAGCAACCACCACCCUGAUCAGUCAGCGGCCUUCAGCAUCGAGGCAAGACCCUCCACCCUCACUAGAGACUCAGCUGAUGACCCCAGCUACUCCAGGUCUAUUCAUCUUUAUGACUGUCGUCCACAUCCUCCUAUAAAUUCAUCACGAGCAUCCAUCAAAUAGAUAGAUUUUCCUUGGAUUCUCCUGGCAUUGGUCAUCUGGCAGUUGAGUGCUAUAGCGGCUAGAGUGUCAGACUCGGAAGACCUGAGUUCAAAUCUCCUCGAGAGACUUAUCAGCUCUAUGGCCUUGGACAAAUUUUUUACCCUCCCAGCUUCAGUUUCUUCAUCUGAAAAAAGCCGUCUGGGUCUUGAUACAAUCAACACAACAUCGCUUCCAAAGACAAGCAUGUGGAAGACCUUAGCAGCUAUAAGGAGUUCCCCUUCUACUUGGAAUCUGUGCUAAACUUGCUCCAUGACAGUGGUGACCACUUUCAGCCACAUACAUCUCCCUGUUUUAUGCCUCACUUGAUAUUAAUAUCAAAAGAGGCAGUGAAACAUAGUGGAUGGAGAAAACUAUCCUCAGAGUCAGGAAGACCUGGGUUGAAGCCCCAUCUCUGACUCCUCCUGCCUGCUUG